CUAUUUUCAUUAGUUUAAACAUACAAAAUAUUUCACUUUCUCUGAAAUGAUAGAAACUACCCUCUAUG
rnacentral:tRNA from 1 species